UAGCAUUCAGUCACUUAACGGCUGACAUCUGUUUACACCAGACGCGAGCGUCGCGUCAAAAGCAAAUAGAAUCCAUUAUAAUCUCUGACGCUGUGCAGUGUGUGGAUACAGUACACAGAUGCACGUCCAGUUUCUGACAUACUCCAGCACUUGAGUCUGCGGUCUGACACCGGGACAAAUGCAUCUCUACAGACUUCAGAAGGAUUCCAGCUUCAGGAACAGGUGGAUGGUUUAUUUAUAAUGGCGUCCCGGAUCGCGCCGGAGGAAUAUAUGUUUGUUUGGAGCAUUUGACUGCAGACUGUUUUGUAAUCGAGGCACAGUGUAAUGGAGAGUUCGCAAAGAAACUUUUGUUGAAAGCUGAAGCAACUGUAUUGGAUUUGACAGCAGCUACAUGGCAAACCAUAUACUCUGGUUAAGGCUGUGCAAAGACAUUUUGGGGGGGGGCAGGUGCUCAAGUGAAAAAAAUAAGGAGUGCAUGAGCAACAUCAUUAAACUAAAUGACAGGAAACUUCUCUUCAGGAACCUCGACCACACACAUCACGAGGGGUUGAAAUAGUCCAAAACCAUCCGGAAAGAAAAAAAAUUAUUGGCAGUUUGUUUGUCAAUCCAGGCCAUGCAUGUGCUCCAGUCCAGUUUUUGUUUGAUCCAGCACUUCUAAAUUCUCAUUGUCGAUGUCCUCAUCCUCCAAAACCAUGAACAAAACUACACGAGGUACAAAUAAAUACAACUCAGACUAAGUACGAUAAACAUGGCUUGUGUUGAUCGCAAUGUGAGGUGAAUUAUUGACUGCUGAAAGCAUGGAUCCAAAUGUUCAACUGAUGUUUAGAAACCAAACACUCCACGCACUUCUGCUGUUGUUUAUGCAUUUGUAAAAUGUUAAUUUUGCUCUCUGUCAGGUUAAAUAUUUUGCAUACAACUGGGCCUCUGUAGUUUGUGGAUAUAUAAAUAAAUUGAUAACAAAUAGGUUUAGAGAGCAUUUUCUCUGAAUUUUCUGCUUCAUACUAUAAGUGAAGUGAUGUUUCAGUGCUGUUUCUACAACCCGAAUUCUGGAAAUGUUGGGGCGUUUUUUAAAUUUGA